UACGUAGGAUGCGAGCGUUGUCCGGAAUUAUUGGGCGUAAAGCGAACGUAGGCGGCCUAUUAAGAUUGGUCUUAAAGACCGGGGGCUCAACCCCGGGACUGGAUCGAUAACUGGUAGGCUGGAGGACGUCAGAGGAAAGUGGAAUUCCGAGUGUAGCGGUGAAAUGCGUAGAUAUUCGGAGGAACACCAGUGGCGAAAGCGACUUUCUGGGGCGUUCCUGACGCUGAGGUUCGAAAGCUACGGGGGAGCAAACAGGG
rnacentral:rRNA from 1 species